AUCGUCGGAACAAUACAAUUUUGAACCUCCCUCGUUACAUCCCCCAUUAACACGGUGAAAAAAAGAAAUCUACACUUGCAUCCCAUUACAUUAUCACAACAUCUCAUCAAAGCGAACGUGAGUUAAUAAAUAUACUUUUCACUGUCUAUCAAAACCAGCUCAAUCACCCAAUUACUCUUCGCAAACGUAACAAACACUCCGCGUACCCACUCGUGCUACUUAAUACACAAUUUCCAUCCACGCGCUUCAUACCCACACAUCCGCGCGACCACCGGAAACCCGUUGAAGCGGCGCGCGCGCGCGCGCGGAUCGCUCCACACAAACGCGAUUUUCUCCCCCUCCCUCCCCUCCCGUUUCGCGACACUCGUCCGUAUUACUCUCCCACGCGACUUUCCUACGCUCGAAACCCACUUUUCACCUAGUACACAUAUAUCCCACAGCUUGCACAAUAUCCCGCAUAAUUUCGCACGAUCCGCGCGCGCGUGUCCCUCGACUCGUCCGUGUGGGCAGAAGCCAGGCCACGAUUCGAGGAACACACCGUCGAAAGGCCAGCCACGUAUCUGCAUAACGGGUGUGCGCCGCAAAAGGGUCGAAAAAAAUGGCAGUCCAGCGUGGUGCUACUCGUAGUAGUCGUCGUCGUCGUCUUCUUCUUCUUCUUCUUCUUCUUCUUCGUGGUCUCUCUCGUGGAGUUAACACCAGUUGCGAGACGACCACCCUCCCUCUUCUCCCCUUUGCAGCCUGGUUUGUCGGCCGUUUGCUCGGUUAGCCUGUUCCUUCGUUGGUUCCUCCUCUUCCACACCGUGUGUACUUCUUCUCUCUUCUCUUUCCUCCUCUUCUACUCUUCUUACCUCUUGUUGGGUCGGUUGUUGGGUCCUUUGGAGAGAGUAUGUGUUGUGUAGAGCGUAUAUAGUCGGGGCCCUUGGCCUGUGGAAUCUGCAUCGAAACGCGGGAGAGGGAGAGAGAGAGAGCGAGAUCCCCUUCGAGAGGUCAGGAGAGCUCCAGUGGAUCCGGGCGAGAUCGAGGAUCGUAACUCUUUCUCGUUCGGAGGGUGGAAUCCGCGUGCUGCUCGGUCGCGCCGUCUCUCGUUCCACGAAUGACCGAUAGAUAAAUAAAGGAGAUAGCGCGAGAGUAUAGGGAAGGGGGAAAGAAUUGUUCCUUUGUUGUCUCCGUGGCUCCUGUGCACGGCCUCGUGCUCUCUGGGGUGAGGAGAGAGAGAGAGAGAGAGAGAGAGAGAGAGAGAGAUUUUCUCGUGUCGCGGGGAAUUCCGCUCGCGUCCACCACAAGCUUCUCGUGCAUAACGUUCGACCGUGCGGAGAAACGACGAACAAGUUCCUUUUUCCGCGCGAGUGGCUUUCGAAAAACCGACCGUUUCCUUAAGCGAGCUGCAAAAUAAUGACGUACUCGCUCGUCCACCCGUUUUUAGCUUGUCGGUACACGCGUUAAGGGUACUUUGCACAAAUUAAUUAAAAAAAGUAAGUGUAAUUUUUGAUCAACGUUUUUUGAAAUAAUAUUGAAACUAAUGAUACGAAAUUGGGUUUCCACUGUUAGAAGUGGAGAAUACGGAGUUA
rnacentral:lncRNA from 1 species